UACGUAGGUGGCAAGCGUUGUCCGGAUUUACUGGGUGUAAAGGGCGUGCAGCCGGGCUGACAAGUCAGAUGUGAAAUCCCGCGGCUCAACCGCGGAACUGCAUUUGAGACUGUCAGUCUUGAGUACCGGAGAGGUCAUCGGAAUUCCUUGUGUAGCGGUGAAAUGCGUAGAUAUAAGGAAGAACACCAGUGGCGAAGGCGGAUGACUGGACGGCAACUGACGGUGAGGCGCGAAAGCGUGGGGAGCAAACAGG
rnacentral:rRNA from 1 species